rnacentral:rRNA from 1 species
UACAGGGGAUGCAAGCGUUAUCCGGAAUGAUUGGGCGUAAAGGGUCUGUCACGGCGGUUUUAAAAGUCUAUUGUUAAAAACCAGAGUUUAACUCUGGGUUGGCAAUGGAAACUUUGAAACUAGAGUUCGGUUGAGGUAGAUGGAAUUACCGGUGUAACGGUGAAAUGUGCAGAUAUCGGUAAGAACACCAACGGCGAAAGCAAUCUACUGGGCCAGUAACUGACGCUCAAGGACGAAAGCUAGGGGAGCGAAUAGG